GAAAGCUGUGUGGAUACUGGCUCUUCUGUGUCUGGAGGUCUGUCUGCUCUCCACAGAGGCCCAACCUGGAACAGACAGACUGACAGCUGCCCAAACCAACCAAGACAUGUCAGACCAAGGAGAUUCUCCAGUACUUCCUCCUCAUCAACCUCGUCCAUUUCCUUCAACUCUGGAUUCAAGGAUUAAAAGAGAGGGGAGGGACCAGAGUGAACGCCAGAAGAAGCCUAACAACUACCCAGGAGUGUGGAGUCAUUUGGGAAGAGGCAACCAAUCACAAACAGAAACAUCCAAAGAGUUUGUAUAGAAAACAAAGCUUGAGGAAAGGAUCGUCUUUACAUGCAUAUAUACCACAUCGUAAUCUGAGGGGGGCCUGUAAGGACAGCUUGCACCCCGGCCCGGCAGCACCACGCUACACCAGUACAUCCACUGUAUUUGUGACAGCUGCGCCCUCUGCUGCUUCACCUCCCCCUGCAGCAGACAGACUCCAGCGUUCGACGUCACCGGCCUUCUGACACCACCGUCCAUCUCAUCAUGCAUUUCACCUGUGUCUUGUUUAGCGCACCUGGUUCUCAUCCUCAUCAUUCCCCCCAGUAUAUGUGUUCCCUCUGCUCCCCCUGUCUAUGUGUGUAAUUGUCUCUGUGUUACAAAGAGCAGUGUUGCGCUUCGCAUAUAUCAC
ensembl:lncRNA